rnacentral:rRNA from 1 species
AUUGAACGCUGGCGGCAGGCUUAACACAUGCAAGUCGAGCGAGCGGCGGACGGGAGAGAAAUGUCUGGGAAACUGCCUGAUGGAGGGGGAUAACUACUGGAAACGGUAGCUAAAACCGCAAAGCAUCAGCUGUGCCCAGAUGGGAUUAGCUAGUAGGUGGGGUAAUGGCUAACCUAGGCGACUAUCCCUAGCUGGUCUGAGAGGAUGACAAGCCAAACUGGAACUGAGACACGGUCCAGACUCCUACGGGAGGCAGCAGUGGGGAAUAUUGCACAAUGGGCGCAAGCCUGAUGUAGCCAUGCCGCGUGUGUGAAGAAGGCCUUCGGGUUGUAAAGCACUUUCAGCGAGGAGGCGUUACUCGAAGAAGAAGCACCGGCUAACUCCGUGCCAGCAGCCGCGGUAAUAC